rnacentral:lncRNA from 1 species
UACUCUCACUUCUCAGCAUUUAAUAAGACAUAAAUGACAGAAGAUGAGAAAACCUAAAUUUUGCUCUCAGGGACUCUGAUAGGGUUUACAAAAUCUGAAGGUACUGCUGUGAGCCUAAUUAGCCCUGCCCACACCAUCUGUAGUGGAUGUUAGACAGGAAGGGUAGGACUCAAAAGAGGAGAAUGCAGUCAGUAGGAGGCUGGUUAGCAAGCAGUGAAGAGGAACAGCUUCCCUUGGGGAGAAAAGCAUGCUGGGUGAUGGGAAGAGAAGCAAAGGAAAAGAGCAGAAGGGGUGGAGAACAUUACAUGACACAUCCUCCACCUCAAGCAGCAUGCAGCCUUCUGGAUUGGGACGCAUCAAAAUAAACUUGUUUGAAUAGUCAAACAGGUCCCAUCUUUCUUCACCUCUGGGUUGCAAGACACCU